rnacentral:pre_miRNA from 1 species
AGUAUAAUUUCUGGAUUGUGUGGUAAAACUCUGCUGAACUUUCUAAAAAACUGUCAAAUUGUUUUCCAAAGCAAUUCUACCAUUCUGCUUUCUCACAGCAAU